rnacentral:sRNA from 1 species
CCAUUCGGUCGCGCGCCUAGGCAUGCAGAAGGUUCCAGAAAACUUGAAGGGCGGGGGCUGUGGUCGCUAAUAAGAUUUGUGAUCAGAUCAGUGAUGCUGUCCUUGAUGCCCACCUUCAGCAGGAUCCUGAUGCCAAAGUAGCUUGUGAAACUGUCGCUAAAACUGGAAUGAUCCUUCUUGCUGGGGAAAUUACAUCCAGAGCUGCUGUUGACUACCAGAAAGUGGUUCGUGAAGCUGUUAAACACAUUGGAUAUGAUGAUUCUUCCAAAGGUUUUGACUACAAGACUUGUAAUGUGCUGGUAGCCUUGGAGCAGCAGUCACCAGAUAUUGCUCAAGGUGUUCAUCUUGACAGAAAUGAAGAAGACAUUGGUGCUGGAGACCAGGGCUUAAUGUUUGGCUAUGCCACUGAUGAAACUGAGGAGUGUAUGCCUUUAACCAUUGUCUUGGCACACAAGCUAAAUGCCAAACUGGCAGAACUGCGCCGUAAUGGCACUUUGCCUUGGUUACGCCCUGAUUCUAAAACUCAAGUUACUGUGCAAUAUAUGCAGGAUCGAGGUGCUGUGCUUCCCAUCAGAGUCCACACAAUUGUUAUAUCUGUUCAGCAUGAUGAAGAGGUUUGUCUUGAUGAGAUGAGGGAUGCACUAAAGGAGAAAGUCAUCAAAGCAGUUGUGCCUGCGAAAUACCUUGAUGAGGAUACAAUCUACCACCUACAGCCAAGUGGCAGAUUUGUUAUUGGUGGGCCUCAGGUAAUGUCAUUUUGUUGCAUUUUUCUGGAUUUUUGAUGGUUACUUAAAAUUUUGGCUACUACAUUUUUUUCAGGCUUUCUGAAACCUACAUGUGAAUCAUCGGAGGAUAUUUGCUGAGUGAAUUCAGAAUAGGCAACCUAAUCCACUUGGAAAGCACUAGGCAUAAAGUAACUUAAAUCCUGUAAUUUCAGGGUGAUGCUGGUUUGACUGGACGGAAAAUCAUUGUGGACACUUACGGCGGUUGGGGUGCUCAUGGAGGAGGUGCCUUUUCAGGAAAGGAUUAUACCAAGGUCGACCGUUCAGCUGCUUAUGCUGCUCGUUGGGUGGCAAAAUCCCUUGUUAAAGGAGGUCUGUGCCGGAGGGUUCUUGUUCAGGUCUCUUAUGCUAUUGGAGUUUCUCAUCCAUUAUCUAUCUCCAUUUUCCAUUAUGGUACCUCUCAGAAGAGUGAGAGAGAGCUAUUAGAGAUUGUGAAGAAGAAUUUCGAUCUCCGCCCUGGGGUCAUUGUCAGGUAAAGAUGGUAAAGCCUAUUGCUAGUCAAGUAUUGAGGGUGUGGGUGUGUGUAUAUAUACUUAAGGCUGAGGAGGUGAAGGUGUGAAGGAAGACUCCUCAAAUGGGAAUACAUUUUAAUUUCUGGAACAGUUUUGAACUGCUGCCUUAGUGAAGACUUAGUUAUUUGAGAAAUUUAAAAUUA